rnacentral:rRNA from 1 species
GAGCACAGCCAUAUCACUCUGCAGCCCAAGACCGGUUACUCACUGAAGCUAAGCAGGGCUAAGCCUGGCCAGUACCUGGAUGGGAGACCACUAGGGAACACUAGGUUGCUGUUGGAA